rnacentral:lncRNA from 1 species
AGAUCUUCCCAUUUGCAGUACUGCCCUCCUGCUAAUGCUCGAUAAUACCUAUCCCUACAGUAGACAGGUCUUCCAUCAGCAGCCUCAGCAGCAGCAGCUGCUAGAUCAUCAUCAGUUAUCACCUCGACUGGUAAUUUAAGCAGCUCCUCUUUUCUGCAGUAUGCAUUAAAAAAUUGCUAUGACAUGGUGGAAAAACUCUGGAAGAUAGUAAGGGAUCUUUAUGUCUUCUCUUACCUUAAGAGCUUUGUGUUAACCUUGGGAGCUUGAACAGUUGAUUUAAUUUCUUCUUUGGUAAAGGUAGUUCGAAAAAAAUUCUCCAAUGGUGUAGCAAAGAUAAAUAGCAUAACUCCUGUAACAAGCAAUGCUCCUGUCCCAACUAGAGUUUGUUUCAGCAAUUUAACGACUGGUUUAACCUGGGGACAUGGAAUAUACGUGAAUCAUGCUGCAAGAAAUCAAAUUUAACAUAUUGCUCUUCUAGUCUGUAUCCAAAAUCUUUCUGAAUUCAAGCAAUGCUGUGAUACUUUGUGAUGUCCAGUACCUUGUAAGAGCCCAACAAUCUAUCACGAGCUAGGAUCUGCAAAGAAAUUAAGUUUUCAGAUUAUAUUGCCUGAAAUUCCAGAAAUGAAACAUGUCACUGGUUCAUUUAGUAGUAUUAAUAUUUGUUAGCACAUUUCAGCUACACUUUAUUCCAUAUCCUUCAUGUUCACUAAUUCUGAAGACUGCUUGUUGCUUAAUCUAGAAGUAUCUCUUACAAUUUGAAAGCCAAUUACAAGUUGCUACCCUAUUAUGUGUUCACCUUUACCAAUGACCCUGUCUUUUGUAAAAAGGCCAGCAGUUGAUUUUAUCCUACCUAGUGCCAAAUUGCAAGCAAUGUCUAAAAUUGGCUACUUUUAUAUUCAUUGAGGGAGGCAUAUUUUACUGUCAAUAUUCUGCUGUCGAUAGAAUCAUAAAUUUUUCAGUUUGCAAUGUGUAUAUAUCUUAUAGCGCACUGAAUCUACCACCAUCAAAAUGAUUUUGCACGUGUGAUGUUUUCAGGCAUAUUUUUGUUCUGUUCCCUCUAGGUACAGGAAGAAUGUGUAGAAGAGGCUAACCUCGGGCGGCUUGACCCACAUCUGUCCGUCGUACCAUCCACUUUCUUCAUAAGGGAUGACCGCUGAUAGAAGU